GAGUUUGAUCCUGGCUCAGGAUGAACGCUAGCGGCAGGCCUAACACAUGCAAGUCGAGGGGUAACAUAGAGAAGCUUGCUUUUCUGAUGACGACCGGCGCACGGGUGAGUAACGCGUAUACAACCUACCUUUUAGCGGGGAAUAGCCCAGGGAAACUUGGAUUAAUGCCCCAUAGUAUGGAGGCCUCUCCUGAGAUUUUCAUUAAACAUUUAUGGCUAUUAGAUGGGUAUGCGUCCUAUUAGUUAGUUGGUAAGGUAACGGCUUACCAAGGCAGCGAUAGGUAGGGGUCCUGAGAGGGAGAUCCCCCACACUGGUACUGAGACACGGACCAGACUCCUACGGGAGGCAGCAGUGAGGAAUAUUGGACAAUGGGCGAGAGCCUGAUCCAGCCAUGCCGCGUGCAGGAAGACUGCCCUAUGGGUUGUAAACUGCUAUAACAGAGGAAGAAUCGCCACUACGUGUAGUGGUUUGACGGUACUCUGCGAAUAAGGAUCGGCUAACUCCGUGCCAGCAGCCGCGGUAAUACGGAGGAUCCCAGCGUUAUCCGGAAUCAUUGGGUUUAAAGGGUCCGUAGGCGGGCAGUUAAGUCAGUGGUGAAAGUCUCCCGCUCAACGGGAGAACUGCCAUUGAAACUGAUUGUCUUGAGUUAUUAUGAAGUGGUUAGAAUGAGUAGUGUAGCGGUGAAAUGCAUAGAUAUUACUCAGAAUACCGAUUGCGAAGGCCGAUCCCUAAUAA
rnacentral:rRNA from 1 species